rnacentral:rRNA from 1 species
GGGAAUCGAGACGGGCAGAAUGGUCACUCUUUGGACACUCGUAAACAGGUGGUGCAUGGUUGUCGUCAGCUCGUGUCGUGAGAUGUUGGGUUAAGUCCCGCAACGAGCGCAACCCUCGUUCUAUGUUGCCAGCACGUAAUGGUGGGAACUCAUGGGAUACUGCCGGGGUCAACUUGGAGGAAGGUGGGGAUGACGUCAAAUCAUCAUGCCCCUUAUGUCUUGGGCUUCACGCAUGCUACAAUGGCCGGUACAAAGGGCUGCAAUACCGUAAGGUGGAGCGAAUCCCAAAAAGCCGGUCCCAGUUCGGAUUGAGGUCUGCAACUCGACCUCAUGAAGUCGGAGUCGCUAGUAAUCGCAGAUCAGCAACGCUGCGGUGAAUACGUUCCCGGGCCUUGUACACACCGAAU